GGAGAGAUGUCCGAGUGGUUGAAGGAGCACGCCUGGAAAGCGUGUAUACGUAGAAAUGCGUAUCGAGGGUUCGAAUCCCUCUCUCUCCGCCA
rnacentral:tRNA from 2 species